rnacentral:rRNA from 1 species
GACGAACGCUGGCGGCGUGCUUAACACAUGCAAGUCGAACGGAAAGGCCCUGCUUGCAGGGUACUCGAGUGGCGAACGGGUGAGUAACACGUGGGUGAUCUGCCCUGCACUUCGGGAUAAGCCUGGUAAACUGGGUCUAAUACCGGAUAGGAGCCAUUUUUAGUGUGAUGGUUGGAAAGUUUUUUCGGUGUUGGAUGAGCUCGCGGCCUAUCAGCUUGUUGGUGGGGUAAUGGCCUACCAAGGCGGCGACGGGUAGCCGGCCUGAGAGGGUGGACGGCCACAUUGGGACUGAGAGACGGCCCAGACUACAACGGGAGGCAGCAGUGGGGAAUAUUGCACAAUGGGCGCAAGCCUGAUGCAGAGACGCCGCGUGGGGGAUGACGGCCUUCGGGUUGUAAACUCAUUUCGCUAGGGAAGAAGAUUUUGUGACGGUACCUAGAUAAGAAGCACCGGCUAACUACGUG